GAGACAGUGGCCUAAUGGUUAGAGUGUUGGACUCCAGAUCGAGCGGUUUGAGUUUGAGACAUUUAACUCUCACAGUGCCUCU